rnacentral:rRNA from 1 species
UGGGGAAUUUUGGACAAUGGGCGCAAGCCUGAUCCAGCCAUGCCGCGUGCGGGAAGAAGGCCUUCGGGUUGUAAACCGCUUUUGUCAGGGAAGAAAUCUUCUGAGUUAAUACCUCGGGAGGAUGACGGUACCUGAAGAAUAAGCACCGGCUAACUACGUGCCAGCAGCCGCGGUAAUACGUAGGGUGCAAGCGUUAAUCGGAAUUACUGGGCGUAAAGCGUGCGCAGGCGGUUUUGUAAGACAGAGGUGAAAUCCCCGGGCUCAACCUGGGAACUGCCUUUGUGACUGCAAGGCUUGAGUGCGGCAGAGGGGGAUGGAAUUCCGCGUGUAGCAGUGAGAUGCGUAGAUAUGCGGAGGAACACCGAUGGCGAAGGCAAUCCCCUGGGCCUGCACUGACGCUCAUGCACGAAAGCGUGGGGAGCAAACAGGAUUAGAUACCCUGGUAGUCCACGCCCUAAACGAUGUCAACUGGUUGUUGGGAAGGUUCCUUCUCAGUAACGUAGCUAACGCGUGAAGUUGACCGCCUGGGGAGUACGGCCGCAAGGUUGAAACUCAAAUGAAUUGACGGGGG